GAUGUCUUAGAUGGUUUCUACAGAUUGGGUGAGGCAGAAAGUGACUUCUCAUUAUUGAGCUGUAUCAGCUGUAUGACUGUCACCUACUGGGGAUUGUGAUUUAAAAAAUGAAAGAUGUGAUUCAAUUCUUUUGCAAGUUAUUUGUGGCUAUCAUGCUUCAGGUAGCUUGAGCAAUAGACUUCUCUAUAUCUUCCCUUGGACUUUCACUCCUUGCAGAUCUUCAGGGGAACAUUACUGCAGAAAUAAAAAUCAUCAGCUUCUGUACCUGGAGGAAGAGAAGACAGGUGUGUAAACCAGAUGGACAGAUGGAACAAAAUGUCACUGAAUUGUGCAGGCAUGGAAAUAGAAAGACCUAGGACAAAUGGCAUUUUGGAUGGAAGGUGACCCAGUCAGUCAGUUGUAGUCAAUUCUUAUUAAAACUGAAAUAGACUUUAGAAAACAAGUUGGAAGGUAGACGGAAUGAUGCUGAAUGUUUGUUAGUCCGUUUCAUGCGUGCAUGUGUGCUGGAAAGAGGAGGACACACCCAAGACAGGUCUAAAACUAGAAGCUUAAUAUACAAGAAACUUAUUGGAUGGCUUCCUUGGAGGAAGAGGAUGCUAUGUAUUUAUUCCAAUGACCCACCUUGCAUUAACUGGGACAUCACUUACUGUCACUGAGACCUUUUGGGAACAUCCUUCAUUUCAGAAGAGCUCUGCCUGGGAAUAUCAAGCAUAUUUCUGCUCUCCUUUGAAUUCUAACUUCUUUGGAGCCAGUUUUCCAUUUUUCCCCACCUUGGUUUCAGCAGCCCUAAUCCAUAUGCUGUUUCCCAGCUUCUUAUUCUGAGCCAUGAUCUGGAUAUUUGUGAGUUCAUCCUUCACCAAUAUCAGAUAAACUGCCAUGUAAGAAUUUAUACUAAGGACCCUUCUAUUAUUGCUAUUGUAUGCAAGAUUUUAUAGUAAAGGUUUUUUUCUGUUACUAUUGCUGUAUAAUGAUUAUAGUGAUAGCCUGAAAAUAACAACUGUACUGAGAUUCCCAUCUUGACUGGACAGCAGCAUGGAACAUAACAUUUUGGCACUCAAAUUGUUGUUACUGUGGGGCCACAAACCCCCUACAAUUGUCUAUUUUUCAUUAUAAUUGUAAAAUCUAUUUUUUAUAGGCCUAAUCCUGGAAAAAUCACAUAAGCUAUAAAAGUAACCUUAAAUUUUUUUCAUGUCGAGCACAAAAACUAAUUUUCUGGGGCUCAUAAUUAAAAUAAAUAAAUAAAUAAACAAGAAAAUACAUAAUCAAAUAUUAAUGGCUUGGUAUUGACAAGAAAAAGAAUAAAAGAAAAAGUGUUAGUUUUGGUCUUUUUGUAAAGUGACCAGCUGCCCAAUGUGGCAUAAUUAAACAGACACACAGAGUAAUGAGCAUGAUAACAAUCCUCUAUUUUCAGUUCAUAGCCAUAAAUGUACUGCUGAAGAAGUGCAGAAUAGUAUCCACCUGUGAGUGGACUGCAACGAACUAGAAAUAAAAAGGAAACUUUCCUAUAGCUUGAAAUUCAGAGCAAAUGGGACAGAAAACACAAACGUGGUUCAGCACAUAUACAGGUUUCAUCUUCAGAAAAUCUGAUUCAUUUUGCACUUAAAAAGCAAUUUAUAUUCAUACAUCUGGUUUUAUUUAUUUAUUUAUUAGAACUGCAUUUCUUGAUGCAAGUUUAUUAGCUGAAAGAAGGACUUUUUUUCUCUAUCUACCAGAGCAUUUACAAUGAGAAGAUUUAUAAAUUUGUAUGGGAGAAAUGUUGAUCAGGCUAUACAGGUUUUUAUGUGAGCUAUUAAACAAAAAAUGUUUUCUUUCCUCUUUAGGAACAUGCAAUGGGUAUUCAUCAGUACUAACUACUGUAGAUGGUUUUUACUCACUUCAUCCCAUUUAAUAACCCUUAAUGUGUUCAGCAUGACCUUCAUGUUCAAAAUAGUAGUCCAAUAGGACAGCAUAGUUACCUUAUAGUCAUUUGCCUGUGAAGAGAGUGGAUUACAUUUUUUUGUGACAGUUUUUGAGGGCUGCAACACUCUGUAUGAUUAAACUCUCAGAUACUCAUUCAUAUUUGUUCUUCUUCCUGAAGCUUUUCACCCUCCCCAUUGGUGUCCAAUGUCAUAUGAAACUAUGCAAGUCUGCUCUAAUUACAGGAGAUGGGACACAGGCAAAAACAGCUUUGGUGGCAGGGAGAAGAUGGUCAUUGCUUUUUUAUUUAAGAAAAAAAGUCAAAUGCAUUUCUUGGACAAGAUUAAAAAUCCUAGUUUGUAAUAAACUGUUUCCAAUCCUGACUCAGUCUUCAUGUGGACCUGCAAGCUAGCACUGAUGGCCACCGUGACUCUCUACAUUCAUCUAUUAUGGACUUCAGAUCACAAAUUCCACAAAAAUAUUAAAAAAAUUGCUUUCUUUUAUUUUAGCACAAAGUAGACUUCUCUGCUGUGAACAUCUCAAGCUGGGCAUUUCCUGACACUUUUCCCUUGAAGAACAACCUGAACUUAGUGUCAUUGUAUUAUCUGGUUGUUUUCUUUCCCCCGUGACAUGAGGUCAGUCUUGAGGUGGAAGUUGCAUCUACUUUGGAUGAUUAUAAAGAAAAAAAUAUUUUUAGUUUGGAUAAAAUUCCCUUCUACAGCACCAAAUUCUUCUCCAAUCAACCCCACUGCCUGCAAGAAUGGUCCAAUUUUUGAAACAGCCAAUGUUAAUGGUGAUAUAGUUAUUAACAGAGACCAUCUUCUAU